AGGAUAGGUUGUUCAGUUUACUACCGGAGACCUGACUGUGACAGACUACCAAGGAAACAAAAUUUUCUAAGAGAGUAAAGAAGACCUUCUGCAGCAUUUGCAAGGGUCUCCUUUUUUGCUUCAGAGUUACGUGGGAUAACUUAGCCAGAACUUAUUGAUGUCUGCAUGUUCAGUGGACUCGGGAAUGGACUGGGAGAUGCAGAAAGGCACUCUUUGGAAGGAACAGAAGAGGAGGCAUUUCAAAAAUCCUGCAGGUGACCGAGGCUAGGUCUGGGCCUGUGCCUUCCUUAUCAGCAUGUCUAUUAAUGUCAAGACUGAGGACAUGAGAAGGUUGAAGUGACCAGUGCACGGCAGUGAAAAAGAUGCCAGUACAAGGAUCAAGACCAAAAGUGAUCAGACUUCAGACAGAGAAGGAGUAGGAAAAUUGCUGAGGUCUCCACAUAGGUGUCUGAUAACAGUCCCACCAAGGUGAAAGUAAAACUGUCUUACAACUCAGCCUCUUCUCCCUAGUGCCCGUGGAGGCAGCUUCCAGCAUGACACAUCCCAUCUUUGCCUCUCCAGAGUAUGGGACUGCUUGCAUCGUUCUCUGAAGGGUCUAGUGCUGGUACUUCUAGA